CGAAUUGUGUCUGACAUAAAGGUUAUCGGAAUUUUAAUUGAACCUAAUAGAUACAGAUUUAAAUCUAUUUCAAUACCACGUUUAGAUUUUAAUAUAUAAUCAUUCGAGAAUUCCAAUUUAUUAAAUAAACGUCUCGAAUUCGUUCAAAAAGUAAUGACAGUUGUAUAUUUGCAUGAAAUUUCUAAAAAUAAUAAUGGUAAAGUUUAAGAAUUUGAGGUAUUUCAAAAUAGUAUUGCUAUGGGCAUUUGUCCAUUAAAAGACUGGCGCCAGACCGACAACAUCCAUCAAUUCCGAAAUUUGUGGACCCAGCGUGAUACCCACACACAAACAGGUACACUGAUCAUCAAAAGCUAUUGUAUCAAGAGACUAAUCUCACCUUCUUUGUCUGUUUAGUUAUAUUUUCAUAUUUUUCGUCACUUUCUCGGAGGGUUCGUCCAGUACACUUGACUGGAUGGUGGCUAGACCGACACCUAAUAUUUCUCUUAUUAUUUUUACGCAGAGACGGACUAGACGGAAACGAAAAAAAAAUCGUGCAAUCGCAAAUCACAGACAAAAAUUACAUUUUUCUUAAUAAAAUCUUUAGUUCUCACAGUCCAAUAAUACGUUAUGAUCGAUAACCACCCUUUUUUACAAUAGUAUUAAUUAGGGGUAGCUGAUUUUUGUAAAAGGUUAUCUACUUGAUCCACCAUGUUCAAUUAGUCACUUCUUCAUUAUAAACGAAUAAGAAUUUUACCUGAAAAUUGCUCAAAGCAGUCACCCUAUUACGACAAGACCAAAUCAGCGAGAAAUCUGUGCUGUAUCCAGAUUUUACCUAUAUCAUUACCUGGUGACGCUAAGAGUGGCUGGACAGUACGAAGAAGACUUGAUUCUAGCUGUAAAUGAACCUCAGCUCGAUUUACCACAGAACACGUUAAUUGAAGUGACGAAUCGUGUCCAUACGAGGGACCUAUAGAAAGAUUCAAGCCUAAAAGAAAACGUGCUUUUUGGAAGAGGUUUCUGGAUAGUUAGUCGCUAUGAAUUGGCCAAUGCGUAGCCCAGACUUGACCAAAAAUAAAAAAUCGAACAAAGAUCGUUUAUUUUUUAAAAAUUAAUCAAAUUCACGUCCAAUUCAACAUACCCUGGAAUACAUAUUGGUCACUGCUUCAAGCGUGUUUCAGCUACUUUUUUAAACAAUCCAGGCGCCAAUUUGAACCAAUUAAAACGACACGGAGAGAGUAUAAGCUCAGCAAAAUUGAUAUUGUUCAAAAGAUUUUGGUUUCAUCGUCAGUAAUUGAAGAAAUUUCUUCUUAAUCAAAAAUUCCGACAGAGUAGUAGUACAACAGUUCGUUUCGGGAUGUAACAAUUCAAGAUGGUUUAAUUUAUUGACUUGAACCCUUCGAUGUCGUUAGACAGGUCGUGAGGUUUGCCCAGGCACUCGCAGAUAACUUGGUCUUCAGUUUCCAUGCACCAGGGGCUCUCCGGAUCAUCCGUUAUGCCCAUGAACGUCUUAGAUGGCAAUGUCAAGCUAAAAAUUCGAUCUGAUUUAGCUGAAGAAGUUGUUUGGUGAGACAGGAACCCCUGAAGCUCUAAUGAACAUCCUAGUACAGUAUUUUCAUAUAAUAUUUCCAAAUUGGCGGAGAAGAAGUCGAGGAUAGAUAGAAUGGCCAUCGCGAUCACCCGAUCUAACAUGAUUAGAUAUUUUUUCCACGGGGAUAAGUGCAACUAUUGAUUUAAAUGCAAUUAGAUCCAUUAGAUUUAUUACGUACGAAACGUUGAAUCAAAUUGAAAGACAGUUUUUUUUUAUUUAAUAUUGCUAUAAUCAUUUUAGUAGUAUUUUACUGAAAAAACUUGAUUAAAAACUUGAAAAGUAACAGUUAAGGGUAGAAAUUGCUUUUUCCGCGUUAAAAAACGUCUUAAAUUAUUAUUCAUACAAAUGUAAUCAUGAAUUUAUUUAGUUUUGUUUCUACGGCGCCGAUUCCAUAACUGAUUUCUCGGAAACCAUCUCGUGGAGGCCGACAAUGAACCAAACCAAAAACGAGGUAUGGAUUGUCGAGGCCGUCACUUCAUCAUCCACAUCUUAGAUGGUAAUACGCCGUGUUUGUGUCGGAUUCGAAGCCGCCGUACUGACGCCGAAAAGUCCAACACCCACUACAUAAAAGAAUAUUAUUUAUAAAAUUCCCUUGAUAACAUAAAAGUACAAUAAAUCGUUGUUUUGGUUAUAGAAAAAGUAUAUAAUAAAUAUGAAUACAAUAAUACGACGAAA